CCAUCACUGUGGGUAAUAAAUCCCGAAUUUUUGGAGGCCCGACGGAGGGCUGCCAAGUGGUGUGGUACUAAAAGCAGUAGUGUGUUGUUUCAUUCAGCAUGGAAGGUAUUGUUUUAGUUAAGUUCGUCGAAACCAUCUGACUUUUAACAUCUACAUUAAUUGUUUACGGUGGUGAAAUCUGCUAUAGUAUUUAUGGAAAUUAUUGGAAAACUAGGAAUUUUGGUGCAGCUGUGUAUUGUAAAUAUACAGCAUGCUGUCUACCAAUGAACUAAUGGAGCUAUUGGGCUUUCGCUGGACCUUAAUUCCCAAAAGCGAUAGAGGCGGGGCAGUAUAUUGUGGGAACGGCCUCUUGCUGUAAUACCCCCUUGGUUCAGUGAUGUGCAUAGUUAAAGUGGCGAGAUACCGAAACGUCACCCGUUCUGCGGAAAUGUUUGCGACAACACAUGUCCCUUUUUUUCGGUGGAUGGAGGGGAUCAUUGAGUGGGAUGUUACUUCCCCAAUUUUUGGAGGCUCAACGGUGCUGUCAUGCACCACGGUCACUGACUCCGCCCGCCCGCCCGCCUCGCCUUACCAGGCUAACUAGAAGACCAGCGGUUAUCACCUUAGCACUAGGCAGGCAAAUUACCAUAAUGACGCAAUAGAACUAGCCAGCGCACAGAAAUCAUGGAGUCCACCACAAUUUAAUAUACAAAAGCAAUGUAACGGGGAACCAAUCAGGUUUUCAAUGCUCAGCAACAAGCCUUUAGAGCGUCACUGAGACUUACUCUUGUGUAACUGUGGAUCCUGAGUACGAUCUUCGCCCCGCUGCGGCAGAUCUGCGUGAAACGUCUUUGGCGCUCAUUUGCAUAGCCCAUGAUUCCUUGCUCAUCAGGCAAGGGAGAAAAAUAGUUUUAUUUCUACUUUUAUUGUUUUCAGUUAUGUCCAGGGCUAUCCUUUUUUGUGGGAGUGACAUCGCCCUUCAGCAGCUCCUUGUUUCAGCGAUAAAGAAGUAGCCACGUUGAGAUACUCAACGAUGCAGUUUUCGAUGACCAUGACAAGAUGGUGAUUGUGAAGGACAUUGAUAUGUUUUCUCUUUGUGAACAUCACUUGGUACCUUUCUUUGGCAAGGUGCACAUUGGAUACUUACAAGGAAGAAAGUGGUGGGCUUAAGCAAACUUGCAAGUUCAGGAGCGACUUACCAAACAGAUUGCCCUGGCAAUUACUGAAGCUCUGAAACCUGUUGAAGUGACUGUGGUCAUUGAAGCAUCGUACAUGUGCAUGAUCAUGAGGGGCGUUCAGAAAAGGAACAGCAAAACCGUCACCAGUGCCAUGCUUGGAGUCUUGCGAGAAGAUCCAAAAACUAGAGAAUUUCUCGCCUUGAUCAAGAAUUAACCAAGAAUUAAUUGCAGCCCUCUCUGGAUUUGGAUCCCACACUAAAAAACCAAUUGCCAAGACAUAAUUGCCUUAUGUGAGCCAGAAUCUGCGAUGUUAAAAAAAAGUGAAAGAAAAAAGAACAAGAAAAGAAAUAAUAAUAUCACAGCUUUGUUCUCACUUUUGGGUAAAACCUCAGAAUGUUGCUAAACAUUUGCUAGGCAAUGCAAGUACCUAACUCCAUUUUACAGCACAGAAAAGAGGUAUCCCUGAUAGGGGAGCAUCUUGUGCCCUAAAAGCCAAGGCCUCGCUACACAUUGCAUCUUUUAAAUAUUUGAGAACAAAGCAAGAGAUCCUCCCCAGAGUUCUUUAUGCAUUGCAGAGAGGUACACCUAAACGGUAAAAUAUUCAUGCAAGAAACACAUUAUUGCAAAGGGGUAUAAUAUAGCUACACUUGACAGGGACCAAGGAUUGGCUGCAGGUCCCUGUGGCUGGUAACACUAGUGCUGGCCUGGGGGCUGAAUGCAGCCCUCCAGCCCUCUCUGCCUGGCCCUCAAGACUUUCCCCAAGCUACACUUUCUCCCAGGCCCUACCUCUUACUGGCCCUGCUCUGUGCCCUCCUGGAGUACCUUUACCUGGCUGGAAUGUAUUCUUGAGUUGUGAUAAUGCAUCUUUCCUGCCUGGAUGGAGAAAGGUGUGUGUAAAAACCUCUGACUUUUGCAUGGCCAUAAUGUAGCCUAUUGUACAAAGGUAGAGAGUCACAUCUGUUGUUCUGCCCACUUUUGCCUCUGGCCCUUGCCCACUGCUGGCAUUGCAAUUCCCAGAAGGUUGCCCAUGAAGGAAUGUGGCCUUUGGCUAAAAAAGGUUCCUCACCCCUGCUGUAGUGAAGACCUCCUACAAAACAGUCACGGGAGAACAAUAUUAGAUUACUCAAGUCCUGCAAAGGCAAGAGACCCUCAUGCAGAGCAGUCAUUGCUUGCAAAGGAAACCUUAAGAUACUCAGAGCUACCAAUCGCUCCUGACAUUUCAACUCUGCUUGCUUCAUUAUGGCCACCACAGUGCCAGUGUAUUCCAGCAACCUCCAUCUUGAAAAGCAGAGACGGAGAACUGGUGGUCCUCCAGAUGUUCUUGGACUCCAGCUCCCAUGAUCUCUGAUCAUAAUUUCUGAUACCCUAAAGAAUCCUGGGAAUGAUAGUGCUGAAAACUCUGUUAAGAGGUAUGUAUCUCCCCAUAAGAGCCCUGUUGAAUCAGGUCAAUGGCCCAUCUAGUCAAGCACUAGCCAACCAGAUGCCUAUGGGAAGCUUACAAGCAGGACCUAAGCACUAGAACAGUGGUUCCCAAACUUUUCCCCCCAUGGACCACUUGAAAAUUGCUGAGGGUCUUGGCAGAUCACUUAAUGGAUUUUUUGGUCUGUUGUAGCAAUUGUAACGUACUGUGCUAGAUGCUAGAUUUUUUAAAUGUACUUUUAUUGCUUCUUGUAUUUCUGAUACAUUGUGUUCCAUGAAAUUCAAAUUGUAAUGCAACAAAAUAGAACAUAAGAUAUAAAAGAAGCAAUAAAAACACAAUUAAAAUUAAUACAAAUGUUGAAUGCGAUGGAUGUGCCAUCUCCCACCUUCAACCACAGAUCCAAAGUCAUGCCACAGACCACCUGAAUGAAGCUCAUGGACCAGAAGUGGACUGCAGACCACAGUUUGGAAACCCCCCUGUACUAGAGCACUCUCCCCUCUUGUGGUUUCCAGCAACUGGGAUUCGGAAGGAUGCUGCCUGUGACCAUGAAGGCAGAGCAUAGCCAUCAUGGCUAGUAGCCAUUGAGAGCCUUAUCCUCCAUGAAGUUGUCAAAGCCUCUUUUAAAGCCAUCCAAGUUGGUGGCUUUCAUUGCCAUCCUCCCCCACCAGCAUUAGUUCCCAGAAUUAUCUGGGGAGAAUAAGUAACUAGUUUACGGCUCUUAAGAGUUAGGAUUAUAUUCAGCUAAGUUAUUGCACAAUGACUUUCAGGAGUACCAUAAAACUCCCCCCCCAUCCACCAGAUCUGCUCUGGGUUUCCCCCCCCCCAACUCUCCAGAAUAGAUUUCCAGGGGUAGAAGAUGUGGGGUUGUGUUGUGGGAAGUCAUUCCACUUGUGCAAUGACUUAGCUGGAUACAAAUCUCAUCCCCUUUGAAUGCAGUAGGGCUUACUUCAAAGUAAAAUGCAUUAGACUGGACUGCACAUGUCCAGUGUAGAUAUGCCCACAGAAAGCAUCUAGCAGGUGAUACUGUACCUAUUACAAUCGCCAAUUUUCUAAUGGAUUUGUGCCCCAGCAUCUUGACUGAAGGGAGGAAACACCCAUACAACCUCCAUUUCCAUGCACACAUUCAGCUCAGAAUGUGAAUGUAAGCUUCUAUGUAGGUGCUUGUAUGUAGCUUUAAUGUAAAGAGAUGGGUGGGUAAUGCAAUCCUUUGCACAGUUCCCAAGGAAGAAGCCCCACUGAACACAGUAGGACUUCUAACUGAGUAUAAUAUAUACAUGAUUGUGCUGUGUUGCCUGUGAUUUGAUUUAAAUCUUGUUUUUAAAUUAGAUACGCUUCUCUCCAUCAGUUCUGUUUACUUAAAUGUUUCAUCCACUGCAAACACAUUUUUGGGCUAUGGCUCUUUAUGUUACAAAAAUACUGUAAACACUGCUGUAUCAUCGUCAAAGAACUGUAUAGCACAACUUGAGAUGUGGCUUUAAAAGCCUAGUGACUUGAGACACAAAACAGGGCUGGCAUUUCUUGAAGAAUAUUCCUUUGUUAAGAAAAAAGCUUGUGAUGUGUUGUAUGUACUGUGUAUACACACUUAAGAGUUCACUUAAUUCAGUUGUGUGAGAGGAAAACAGGGUUGCACUGACUUGUAUGUUCACUGAGUGGCUCUUUGUACAGGGACACAUUGGGAACAGCACAUUCCCACAACAGCAGCAGAAGCUUCAAAAGACACUCUCCUCUUUCUCUCACCUAACAGUUUUAUUUUUACUUUUAGUAAGAGAAGAUAGCUUGCAUAAAAGUGGUGCUAAAAUGCCUGCUAACCAAACAAUGUUGUGUCACUAUUUUAGAUUUAUAAAAUGCUUGUAAUACAAAGCUAUAGUUUGGGAUUCCAACCUCUUUGUUACAAUUUAUACUAAUUAGUUGCAUUGUACUAAAAAGAUUCAAAUCACUACAUCAAGAGCUACAUAUUAAGGUCUACAUAUUGUGCUGUGUUGUUGUCACAUUAUUUUGAGUAUAUUUAUAACAGCAGUUUGAGCAUAUUUAAUUUGGUAAGAUAGUCCCAGCUACAAAAUAAAAAGUGGAAAAUGGGGCGUGAAAUACUGUAUGCUCAGCAGUGCGAUUGGCUAAAUUGACUGAAUGCCUUUUAUCAGGAAAAGCAAAAAUGAAUAAGUGAUUGUAGCAUAAUAUGGUAUGUAUUAGGUGCAGAUGAUAUCUUGAGUUAGAUUUGACUUGUGAGAGGUAAACACUGCUGUUGCACAUGGUUUACCUUUUUUCAAUAAAUGUGCCAAGCACAAAUUGAAAAAUUUGUCAAGAAAUAUGGUGUAUACCCUGGGGCAUGUAUGUGAUUGCUAUAACUAUUAUGCAAGACUGCCUUAUUGCUUUUAUAUGUAUAAGUGCCUUUAGGAGGGUAAGAUUUAAUAGUUAAGCUCAUAAUGGUGUCUUCUGUAGCUUGGACACCUGCCAGAGAACUAGUUUGUUAGAAGAUGAGGUUGCGGAACAGUCAAUGUCCCUCAGCUGGGCCUUAUCUAUGAGGCUAGAUGUAGCCUCAAGGACACCUCUUUGAAGCUCAUCUAGAUAGCCACUAACGAGCUGCAUGUGCUGAGAACUGGUAGCACAUGUGAUAGGAGGCUGGUAGGGAGGGAAAGGACCGUUUGAUGUACAGUAGCCUUGGCACUGAUCCAGUUAGCUCUAAUGAGCUACAUGUGCCAAGGAUGGGCUGCACGUGUGAGGCGUCCUUCCCUGGCUCUCCCUGUCAGGUUCCUACCUGCUCGUGGUUACUGCCUGUCUCUAGGCACCACCAGGGACUCCACCAGUCCGGACCGCUCUCUCUUAUGAUUUCUCUCCCCGCUCUAGCACAGAUCUCAACAGAACCCCCUGCUAGGCAACCACCAGUAACGUCCCAAUACUAGUAUUCCCAGAGACUCUGAAUACUGGUAUUGUUAUUCUCUUCACCGCUGCCACCAUUUGUUACAGUUCCCCUUCAGCCUUGGUCAUUACCUUACCCUCCCUUCUGGUCUGUGAAACCCCAGCCAAGGAUCAGGCCUUUGGUAAACCAAAUUAAGUAUUUAUUAAAGAUAACAAAGCUAACAAGAUUAACAAGAUUUCUUCUUAAGGCACAUAAGCAUAUGGUUUUACUCAAUACUAAUCCGAACUCCACCUCCCUCCUUCUUCACGCUCUCCAUCAGGUGCCUUGACACUCCAGAUCAAGGGACGGGGAUACUUCAAAGAUAGUGAGAUAACAGCCAUUGUCUAUUAGGCAUAGGGCAGCUUUGAUGCCUAGUCUGAUUAAUGAUGUACCCUGUCAAGAUGUGCCGAUUUGAUGUUAGAUAUAGCUAAUGAUGCAUUCCGUCAUUGUGUAUGCCUUGCCAAGAUUUUCUCUAUAAAAGGUGCCUGUGCCGUGAGCUCAGGGUGCAGACCUUAACGCCUCUAUGUGAGAGACCUUCGGUCUGUUCCACUGGGUAGGCAAGCCUGUUGUGGCCCAGCUCAGCAUACAGACUGUAGGUGCCCAUGUGGGAACCUUGCAGCCUGUUCCAUUUAUUGGGUAUGCCAGUGUGCUCGCUAAAUUACUCAAUAAACGUCUCCUUGAGAGUAAACCUUUGAAUCUUCCUCCUUGAUUCUAUGGUACUGAUCCUUACAGUUUGAAGCAGCCCACAGCUGGGGCUAAUACAUAUGGAAAACUAAACAAUGGCCCACAGACUGGAAGUGUUCCAUAUACAUCCCAAUUCCAAAGAAAGGGGAUUCCAGGGAAUGGAGUAAUUAUCGAACUAUUGCCUUAGCAUCCCAUGCAAGUAAUGUAAUGCUCAACAUUCUAUAACAAAGGCUCUUGCCAUAUAUGGAGCGAGAAACGCCAGAUGCCCAAGCUGAUUUAGAGAGGGGCACCAGAGAUCAUAUUGUAAACAUACAUUGGAUAAUGGAACAGACCAAGGAAUUUCAGAAGAAAAUCACCCCGUGCUUUAUAGACUACAGCAAAGCCUUUGACUGUGUAGAUCAUGAAAA